UGGGGAAUAUUGCACAAUGGAGGGAACUCUGAUGCAGCGACGCCGCGUGAACGAAGAAGGCUUUCGAGUCGUAAAGUUCUUUUAUAUGGGAAGAUAAUGACGGUACCAUAAGAAAAAGCCCCGGCUAACUACGUGCCAGCAGCCGCGGUAAUACGUAGGGGGCUAGCGUUGUCCGGAAUCACUGGGCGUAAAGGGUUCGCAGGCGGAAAUGCAAGUCAGAUGUAAAGGGCAGUAGCUUAACUACUGUAAGCAUUUGAAACUGCAUAUCUUGAGAAGAGUAGAGGUAAGUGGAAUUUUUAGUGUAGCGGUGAAAUGCGUAGAUAUUAAAAAGAAUACCGGUGGCGAAGGCGACUUACUGGGCUCAUUCUGACGCUGAGGAACGAAAGCGUGGGUAGCAAACAGG
rnacentral:rRNA from 1 species